ensembl:piRNA 21ur-1021 ncRNA
UUCUUUUGGGGUUUGAUCGAA